GUAAUACUCCAGAUAGCUCCACACGGCAACAUCUGAUCACCUCUGGGGGGAGAAAAAAAAUCUGGCUCAAUUUCCAUCUUCAGUUUAAAACACACACGGCUUCCACAAUAGACUGCAAUGUGGAGGAGUGUCUCACUUUGAUCUUUAAAUACCCUCUAACGUUAAGACACGCUCAUUGGCUUUGAUUUUUUUUUUUUUUUUACAACUGCCAGGCAAAAUACAGACGCUCCCUUGAAUCUCCUCCUGUGUAGCUGUAGUACAGCAGAGAAUGCGUGAACACCUAUCCUCUUUUUAUUUUUUUCCCUCCUCCAACACAACCACCACCAUCUGUCCCUUUCUUCCAUUUCAUGUGCUCAAGCAAUAUCCACACCCCUCUCAUAGCAACAGCACGCCGCCGCCGCCCCCGCGCCUUGCAGUGAAUUUUUCUUUUUUUCUUUUUGCUCCGUCCCCUGGAUCUUCGCCUCGCACCAUGCAGACGGUCCCUGGGCCCUGCCUGACUGUUCAGUCUUCCCCCCUCCCCCACCAGCCGUGCUCCUGUUUCACUCAAAGAUGGCGUCGGCUCUAGAGCCCCUGGUCUCUGGCUGCAUUUUUUGGGCUUGUUGUUGUCUUCGUUUCGCACGGUUUUGGCACCUUCUCCUCGGCGGCUCGAUACCAAAUUCCGGUGAGUAGCAGCGGAAGCCGGAUGGGAGGAUACGAGAUUUUCUCCGCGGUCCGCUUUGCCCGAGCUUCCCUCCGAAACCAGAACCGGACCAUCUCUGGCUUUCUGGGGAACCGCGAGAGUUUUCAUCAGCUACUGAAGUGCAAUAGGCAUGAAGGUGAUCGGUCCUGGCUGCUCCCUGUGGUGAGAUAUCUGUUCCGUCCCAGAGCUGAGAAGCUCAGACUGCUGGAAGAGAAAAAGGGAGCAAAUGAGAACAAGCGAAAAUAAGGAGAUGUGGAUGGAGAGGAAAACUCACAAUCUUCUGGAGUGAUAUAAUUAUCAGAAACCUUUGUGCAAUUGUCCUCGCGUUUAUCACUGAAACACAAUUUUCAUGCCCCCGAGAGUCUGAGCAGAGGAGACUGCUGUUAUUGGCAGUCCUUGUUUUUUUUUUUUCGUUUUUUUUUUCCGGGGGCCGUCUAAACAGGAAACGCC
ensembl:lncRNA